rnacentral:rRNA from 1 species
AGGAUUAACGCUGGCGGCGUGCAUGAGACAUGCAAGUCGAACGGACACUCGGAGCUUGCUCUGAGUGUUAGUGGCGGACGGCUGAGUAACGCGUAGGUGACCUGCCCCGAAGUGGGGAAUAACUGCCCGAAAGGGUGGCUAAUACCGCAUGUGGUGAUGUGUUCAUUCGCAUCAGUAAAGCCGCAAGGCGCUUCGGGAGGGGCCUGCGUCCGAUUAGCUCGUUGGUGAGGUAACGGCUCACCAAGGCGACGAUCGGUAGGUGGUCGUGAGAGGACGGAUCACCCAGACUGGGACUGAGACACGGCCCAGACUACCUACGGGAGGCAGCCAGGUCGGGAAUUUUGCGCAGUGGGUCGAAAGCCUGACGCAGCAACGCCGCGCGAGGGACGUGGACGGCCGUUCGGGUUACGUAACCGUUCGUUCGUAGUCGUAGG